rnacentral:rRNA from 1 species
UGGAGGCAGCAGUAAGGAAUUUUGGACAAUGGGGGCAACCCUGAUCCAGCAAUGCCGCGUGAGUGAAGAAGGCCUUCGGGUUGUAAAGCUCUUUUGUUCGGGAAGAAACGGUUCAGGCUAAUAUCCUGAACUAAUGACGGUACCGGAAGAAUAAGCACCGGCUAACUACGUGCCAGCAGCCGCGGUAAUACGUAGGGUGCAAGCGUUAAUCGGAAUUACUGGGCGUAAAGCGUGCGCAGGCGGUUGUGCAAGACAGAUGUGAAAUCCCCGGGCUUAACCUGGGAAUUGCAUUUGUGACUGCACGGCUAGAGUGUGUCAGAGGGGGGUAGAAUUCCACGUGUAGCAGUGAAAUGCGUAGAUAUGUGGAGGAAUACCGAUGGCGAAGGCAGCCCCCUGGGAUAACACUGACGCUCAUGCACGAAAGCGUGGGGAGCAAACAGGAUUAGAUACCCCGGU